GGGGAUGUAGCUCAGUUGGGAGAGCGCUUGCUUCGCAUGCAAGAGGCCGGGGGUUCGAAUCCCCUCAUCUCCA
rnacentral:tRNA from 1 species